rnacentral:misc_RNA from 1 species
AAACAUGUUGGUGUAAACAAGAUAAGUUACAGUAUAAUUAAAGAUUUUAUUCAAGAGAUAAAGAUCUGUUAUGGCACACGUUAUGAAGACAUGUGAUUUUUCAUAGAUGAAAACCCAUUGAUUGCAGCAUGGUUGUGCAUACAGAUUCAUGCCUCGUUUUGUUGUCCGCGACUUCUCUUCUCCUCAAUACCCGAUUGUGAAAAUCUAUGUCGAAGAACAUCUAGCACAUCUUCUAGUUUCAC